AUUGAACGCUGGCGGCAGGCUUAACACAUGCAAGUCGAGCGAGCGGCGGACGGGUGAGUAAUGUCUGGGAAACUGCCUGAUGGAGGGGGAUAACUACUGGAAACGGUAGCUAAUACCGCAUACCAUCAGAUGUGCCCAGAUGGGAUUAGCUAGUCGGUGGGGUAAUGGCUCACCUAGGCGACGAUCCCUAGCUGGUCUGAGAGGCGUACCAGCCACACUGGAACUGAGACACGGUCCAGACUCCUACGCGAGGCAUCAUUGGGGAAUAUUGCACAAUGGGCGCAAGCCUGAUGCAGCCAUGCCGCGUGUAGGAAGAAGGCCUUAGGGUUGUAAAGUACUUUCAGCGGGGAGGCGUUACCCGCAGAAGAAGCACCGGCUAACUCCGUGCCAGCAGCCGCGGUAAUUC
rnacentral:rRNA from 1 species